rnacentral:rRNA from 1 species
AUGGCGUCCCGGUCGUGGUUGUUCCUGCUGCUUGGCCUCGCCGCCAGCUUGCUUCAAGCUCGUGGUCAGAGCGCGCCUGACAGCAGGGGAUUCAUCAGCAUAGAUUGCGGUCGGUCGGAGCAGAGCGGCAGCUACGUGGACGAGCUCACAAAGCUGCGGUACACCACGGACGCCGGCUUCACCGAUGCCGGCUCCAACCACAACGUGUCUAUCAGGCACACCAACCCCGAAUACACCAAGCGCUACCCUCAGGCGGAAAACGUCCGGAGCUUCCCCGGCGCGGUAAGGAGCUGCUACACGCUCCGGCCCAUCGUGUCGGGGUCCAAGUACCUGCUGCGGGCCUCCUUCAUGUACGGAAACUAUGAUGGCCUCAACAUGAUCCCCGUCUUCGACCUCUACCUCGGCGUCAACUUCUGGAUGACGGUGAACUUCUCCAAGGACGACCCUGACCUUGCGUUUUACUCCGAGGUCAUCACCGUUCUCCCCGAAGAUUCGGUGCAGGUUUGCCUGGUUGACACCGGCUUGGGGACGCCGUUCAUCUCAUGGCUGGAACUCAGGCCCCUAAAAAACACGCUCUAUCCGCAAGCCAACGUCACCCAGGCACUGGCCCUGUCCAGGAGGUGGAACUUCGGUGGUGACAGGAUGAUUAGGUACCCGGAGGACCCGUACGACCGGCCAUGGUUCCCGUGGAACGACCCGGGCUCGUUGCAGAUCUCAACAGAGCAGAAGGUCGAGCGGGACGAAAGCACGCGCGAGAUUUUCCAUGCGCCGUCCGUCGUGAUGCAGACAGCCAUCACUACGCCCAACGUCUCUACAGACAUUGAGUUCGGGUAUAACGUCAGGACGGACCACGUUUACCCCAAGCCCCGGCACGUGUUUGUCUUGUAUUUCUCGGAGCUGAAGGUCCUGCCGAGAAAUGCCGUCCGCCUGUUCAGCAUCAGCGUUGAUAACUGGCUUUGGUGCGGCUUAUGCCAGCUGCCUAACAGCAUAUCCAGGACCUCUCACAACAUCAACCACUUCCCUUUCUCCCCCCGGCACAACUUCACCAUAAAAGCCGUGGUGCCGAACUCGACACUGCCGCCGGUCAUCAACGCUGCCGAGUUUUUCUCUGUCAUCUCCAUGGCCGACCUUGGCACGUUCACUCGAGACGUUCACCGGCGAGGGUUCCUGCUUGGAUGCGCCCAUGCUGUGCGCCGCUGCUGCUGCUUGCUCGCCGUCAUUGCUGCUUGCUCGCCGUGGUUGCUGCUUGCACCCGUUCUGCUCGCCGGCGCGCCGCUGCUUGCUCCGGUGAUGCGCGCCGCCACUAGUCUUCUUGCUCCGGUGAUGCGCGCCGCCACUAGUCUUCUUGCUCCGAUGAUGCGCGCCGCCACUAGUCUUCUUGCUCCGGUGACGCGCGCCGCCGCCGCUCUGCACGGCCGCGCUGCUGCUUGUGCCUGUGUUGCGCCCCGUCGCUGCUGCUUGCUCCGAUGUCGCCGUCUCUGA